UACAGAGGGUGCGAGCGUUGUUCGGAAUUAUUGGGCGUAAAGAGCUCGUAGGCGGUUUGUCGCGUCUGCUGUGAAAACUGGAGGCUCAACCUCCAGCCUGCAGUGGGUACGGGCAGACUAGAGUGCGGUAGGGGAGAUUGGAAUUCCUGGUGUAGCGGUGGAAUGCGCAGAUAUCAGGAGGAACACCGAUGGCGAAGGCAGAUCUCUGGGCCGUAACUGACGCUGAGGAGCGAAAGCAUGGGGAGCGAACAGG
rnacentral:rRNA from 1 species